AUUUAAAGAAAGCGUAAUAGCUCACUGGUCGAGUCGGCCUGCGCGGAAGAUGUAACGGGGCUAAACUAUGCACCGAAGCUGCGGCAGCGACACUAUGUGUUGUUGGGUAGGGGAGCGUUCUGUAAGCCUGUGAAGGUGUGUCGUGAGGCAUGCUGGAGGUAUCAGAAGUGCGAAUGCUGACAUAAGUAACGAUAAAGCGGGUGAAAAGCCCGCUCGCCGGAAGACCAAGGGUUCCUGUCCAACGUUAAUCGGGGCAGGGUGAGUCGACCCCUAAGGCGAGGCCGAAAGGCGUAGUCGAUGGGAAACGGGUUAAUAUUCCCGUACUUGGUGUUACUGCGAAGGGGGGACGGAGAAGGCUAUGUUGGCCGGGCGACGGUUGUCCCGGUUUAAGCGUGUAGGUGUGUGUUCCAGGUAAAUCCGGUUCACUUUAACACUGAGGCGUGAUGACGAGGCACUACGGUGCUGAAGCAACAAAUGCCCUGCUUCCAGGAAAAGCCUCUAAGCAUCAGGUAACAUCAAAUCGUACCCCAAACCGACACAGGUGGUCAGGUAGAGAAUACCAAGGCGCUUGAGAGAACUCGGGUGAAGGAACUAGGCAAAAUGGUGCCGUAACUUCGGGAGAAGGCACGCUGACACGUAGGUGAAGUGAUUUACUCAUGGAGCUGAAGUCAGUCGAAGAUACCAGCUGGCUGCAACUGUUUAUUAAAAACACAGCACUGUGCAAACACGAAAGUGGACGUAUACGGUGUGACGCCUGCCCGGUGCCGGAAGGUUAAUUGAUGGGGUCAGCGCAAGCGAAGCUCCUGAUCGAAGCCCCGGUAAACGGCGGCCGUAACUAUAACGGUCCUAAGGUAGCGAAAUUCCUUGUCGGGUAAGUUCCGACCUGCACGAAUGGCGUAAUGAUGGCCAGGCUGUCUCCACCCGAGACUCAGUGAAAUUGAACUCGCUGUGAAGAUGCAGUGUACCCGCGGCAAGACGGAAAGACCCCGUGAACCUUUACUAUAGCUUGACACUGAACAUUGAGCCUUGAUGUGUAGGAUAGGUGGGAGGCUUUGAAGUGUGGACGCCAGUCUGCAUGGAGCCGACCUUGAAAUACCACCCUUUAAUGUUUGAUGUUCUAACGUGGACCCGUGAUCCGGGUUGCGGACAGUGUCUGGUGGGUAGUUUGACUGGGGCGGUCUCCUCCUAAAGAGUAACGGAGGAGCACGAAGGUUGGCUAAUCCUGGUCGGACAUCAGGAGGUUAGUGCAAUGGCAUAAGCCAGCUUGACUGCGAGCGUGACGGCGCGAGCAGGUGCGAAAGCAGGUCAUAGUGAUCCGGUGGUUCUGAAUGGAAGGGCCAUCGCUCAACGGAUAAAAGGUACUCCGGGGAUAACAGGCUGAUACCGCCCAAGAGUUCAUAUCGACGGCGGUGUUUGGCACCUCGAUGUCGGCUCAUCACAUCCUGGGGCUGAAGUAGGUCCCAAGGGUAUGGCUGUUCGCCAUUUAAAGUGGUACGCGAGCUGGGUUUAGAACGUCGUGAGACAGUUCGGUCCCUAUCUGCCGUGGGCGCUGGAGAACUGAGGGGGGCUGCUCCUAGUACGAGAGGACCGGAGUGGACGCAUCACUGGUGUUCGGGUUGUCAUGCCAAUGGCACUGCCCGGUAGCUAAAUGCGGAAGAGAUAAGUGCUGAAAGCAUCUAAGCACGAAACUUGCCCCGAG
rnacentral:rRNA from 1 species